rnacentral:lncRNA from 1 species
AAUGAAUAGCUGCAAACAGAGCUCAAGUUGUCAUCCCUGAGGGAGUGGGAUUAUGUCUCCUGGAACUCUAUGGAGGUCAGGUCAAACAUAUGGUCUCCCAGAAAACCAACACCAACUCCAGGCUUAGUCCACAUGCUCCAGGUAGGCUCUGGGGCCCUCUGGUUCAAGGCGCCUGGAGCAAUCAGCCCUUCAGAUACCCCUGGAGAUGGUGAGUACUUCAUGG